rnacentral:rRNA from 1 species
GAUGAACGCUGGCGGCGUGCCUAAUACAUGCAAGUCGAGCGAACAGACGAGGAGCUUGCUCCUCUGACGUUAGCGGCGGACGGGUGAGUAACACGUGGAUAACCUACCUAUAAGACUGGGAUAACUUCGGGAAACCGGAGCUAAUACCGGAUAAUAUAUUGAACCGCAUGGUUCAAUAGUGAAAGACGGUUUUGCUGUCACUAAGAGAUGGAUCCGCGCCGCAUUGACUAUUUGGUAAGGUAACGGCUUACAAAGGCGACGAUGCGUAGCCGACCGGAGAGGGUGAUCGGCCACCUUGGAAGUGAGACCCGGUCCAAACUCCUGCGGGAGGCAGCAUUAGGGAAGCUUCGCAAAUGGCCGAAAGCCUGACGGAGCAACGCGGCGUGGGUGAUAAAGAUCUUGGGAUCGAAAACCUUUGUGAUUAGGGAAGAACAAAUGUCUACGUAACUUUUCACUCCUUGACGGUACCUAAAGAGAAAGCCACGGCUAACUACGUG